rnacentral:rRNA from 1 species
GACAUGGGAAGCUUGCUUCCUAUGAAAUCGAGUGGCAAACGGGUGAGUAACGCGUAAACAACCUGCCCUUCGGAUGGGGAUAACAGCCGGAAACGGCUGCUAAUACCGAAUACGAUCUUUUCGUCGCAUGACGGAGAGAAGAAAGGAUGGCCUCUAUACAAAGCUAUCGCCGAAGGAGGGGUUUGCGUCUGAUUAGCUGGUUGGAGGGGUAACGGCCCAACAAGGCGAUGAUCAGUAGCCGGUCUGAGAGGAUGAACGGCCACAUUGGGACUGAGACACGGCCCAGACUCCUACGGGAGGCAGCAGUGGGGAAUCUUCCGCAAUGGACGAAAGUCUGACGGAGCAACGCCGCGUGGGUGAAGAAGGUCUUCGGAUUGUAAAGCUCUGUUAUACGGGACGAAAAAGACGGAUGCCAACAGUAUCCGUCCGUGACGGUACC